UAGAGUUUGAUCCUGGCUCAGAUUGAACGCUGGCGGCAGGCCUAACACAUGCAAGUCGAGCGGUAGAGAGAAGCUUGCUUCUCUUGAGAGCGGCGGACGGGUGAGUAAUGCCUAGGAAUCUGCCUGGUAGUGGGGGAUAACGUUCGGAAACGGACGCUAAUACCGCAUACGUCCUACGGGAGAAAGCAGGGGACCUUCGGGCCUUGCGCUAUCAGAUGAGCCUAGGUCGGAUUAGCUAGUUGGUGGGGUAAUGGCUCACCAAGGCGACGAUCCGUAACUGGUCUGAGAGGAUGAUCAGUCACACUGGAACUGAGACACGGUCCAGACUCCUACGGGAGGCAGCAGUGGGGAAUAUUGGACAAUGGGCGAAAGCCUGAUCCAGCCAUGCCGCGUGUGUGAAGAAGGUCUUCGGAUUGUAAAGCACUUUAAGUUGGGAGGAAGGGCAGUAAAUUAAUACUUUGCUGUUUUGACGUUACCGACAGAAUAAGCACCGGCUAACUCUGUGCCAGCAGCCGCGGUAAUA
rnacentral:rRNA from 1 species